rfam:Nippostrongylus brasiliensis genome assembly, scaffold: NBR_scaffold0007709
ACAUCGGUUGCACAGUGGUCAGUGCAGUCUGUCGGAUACAGAAAGACGCGGGUUCAAUUCCCCUCCAAUGUC